rnacentral:rRNA from 1 species
AUGAACGCUGGCGGCAUGCCUAAUACAUGCAAGUCGAACGAAGAAAUGUUGCUUGAAGGUGCUUGCACCGGAUAGUUGCUUUCUUAGUGGCGAACGGGUGAGUAACACGUAGGUAACCUGCCUAGUAGUUGGGAAUAACAAUGGGAAACCGUUGCUAAUACCGAAUAUGAAUUCGAAGGGCAUCCUUUGAAUUUGAAAGGGGCUUUCAAGCCUCGCUAUUAGAUGGACCUGCGGCGCAUUAGCUAGUUGGUGAGAUAACAGCUCACCAAGGCGAGGAUGCGUAGCCCGACCUGAGAGGGUGAUCGGCCACAAUGGGACUGAGACACGGCCCAUACUCCUACGGGAGGCAGCAGUAGGGUAGUUUUCGGCAAGUGGGGGAACCCUGACCGAGCAAUGCCGCGUGUAAGUUAUGAAGGUCUUAUGGAUCGUAAGGCUCUGUUGGUAGGGGAUAGAAACGUCUAGGGAAGGAAAUGUCCUAGACUUGACAGUACCUUACCAGAAAGCCACGGCUAACUACGUGCCAGCCGCGGC